GACGAACGCUGGCGGCGUGCUUAACACAUGCAAGUCGAACGGAAAGGCCCUGCUUUUGUGGGGUGCUCGAGUGGCGAACGGGUGAGUAACACGUGAGUAACCUGCCCUUGACUUUGGGAUAACUUCAGGAAACUGGGGCUAAUACCGGAUAGGAGCUCCUGCUGCAUGGUGGGGGUUGGAAAGUUUCGGCGGUUGGGGAUGGACUCGCGGCUUAUCAGCUUGUUGGUGGGUAGUGGCUUACCAAGGCUUUGACGGGUAGCCGGCCUGAGAGGGUGACCGGCCACAUUGGGACUGAGAUACGGCCCUGACUCCUACGGGAGGCAGCAGUGGGGAAUAUUGCACAAUGGGCGGAAGCCUGAUGCAGCAACGCCGCGUGCGGGAUGACGGCCUUCGGGUUGUAAACCGCUUUCGCCUGUGACGAAGCGUGAGUGACGGUAAUGGGUAAAGAAGCACCGGCUAACUACGUG
rnacentral:rRNA from 1 species